GGAGGCGUGUUCUGAAUUGGUAAGGAGCCGGUCUCGAAAACCGGUGGGAUGAAUAAUCCCGUAUGGGUUCGAACCCCAUCGCCUCCGCCA
rnacentral:tRNA from 1 species